UAAAAAAAUAAAUAAAUUUAAAAAAAUUGAUGAUUCAAAAUAAGUACUUCUUGUAUAACAACUCCGAUCUUUAAUCUCUUUUUUUCAUCAAAUUUAAGUAAAAAUUUUAUUAAAAACUUGAUAACAAAGCUUAAGACUUGGCUUGAAAACUUAAAGAAUUUAAAAAUAUGUUUAAAUUUGACUUAUUUACAUAAUGAACGGAUCUCGAAGGAGCUUUUAACGUGUCGAACACGAAUCGAACUCAAGUAAUUGAUUUUUUUAGUGUAUAUAAGUUUAUCAAGUCGAGUAGUAAGUUGUUCAAAUUUCACCUAACAACUAAAUGAAUUUAAAAUUGUGUUUAAAUUUGACUUAUUUACAUAACAAGUCAAUCUCAAAUAAAUUUUUAAUGAACCGAACAUGAGUUAAUCUCAAGUAACUAGGUUUGUUUAACAACCUUACUUGAUAAUGAUACGAAACACUCUAAUCUUACUCUUCUUUUAUAUGAAAUGUUUUUGAAAAAUUUCAAACUUAUCCUAAAAAUCUAUUUUAAAUUUUUUAUGAUGAUAUACCAUUUCCGACUUUUACUCUUUUUAAAAAUUCAUCAAAUUUGAGUAAAAAUAUGAUUAUUAAUUUCAUCCUUAGUUUUGAUGAAGAGAGCAAUUAAAAAAAAAACACUUUAUGCUUCAAAAUGAGCACUUCUCACAUUUCAUGGAACA